AACCCAUGAUGAGUGCACCAUCUCAAAAGAUCAUUAAAUCUCUAUCAUGCAUCAUACAAUGUCUCAAGCUCAAAUUGAGAAAAGGAAGAGAUGUCAUUCCUCAACUU
rfam:Gossypium hirsutum cultivar TM-1 chromosome 13, whole genome shotgun sequence